UACGUAGGUGGCGAGCGUUGUCCGGAUUUAUUGGGCUUAAAGGGUGCGUAGGCGGCUUUGUAAGUCAGUGGUGAAAUACUCUAGCUUAACUAGAGGGGUGCCAUUGAUACUGCGGAGCUUGAGUACAGAUGAGGUGGGCGGAAUUGACGGUGUAGCGGUGAAAUGCAUAGAUAUCGUCAAGAACACCGAUAGCGAAGGCAGCUUACUGGGCUGUAACUGACGCUGAGGCACGAAAGUGUGGGGAUCAAACAGG
rnacentral:rRNA from 1 species